rnacentral:piRNA from 1 species
UUCACACCCAAUCUUUCAUCA